rnacentral:misc_RNA from 1 species
GAUGAAGAACGUAGCGAAAUGCGAUAAGUAAUGUGAAUUGCAGAAUUCAGUGAAUCAUCGAAUCUUUGAACGCACAUUGCGCCCUCCGGCAUUCCGGGGGGCAUUCCUGUCCGAGCGUCACGAAAACCCCAUCACACUCGUUGUGGUCAUGGCUGCAGUGAGUCGUCUCCAGCGGAGAGGGUCACGCCGCUGAAAGGAAUGGUGCGGAUGAGUUCCGAUGGCCGAACGUAGUACUUGACAACCGUCGGCCGAUGGGACCCUCCAUCUCGCCCUGACGACGUACCCCCGUCGUACCCCCGAUCAGGUGGACCUCGGAUCAGGUAGGGAUACCCGCUGAACUUAAGCAUAUCAAUAAGCGGAGGA